rnacentral:lncRNA from 1 species
AUAUACAUGGUUAUUUUAAACGAUUACCUUCAUUCACAGUCAAAGUCACAUGUUCAUAACAACCAUUUGAGAAUAUAUUAACAUGAGAUUUGUAAACAAGCCUAAUUUUUUUUUUUGAAAGAUAAACAAGCCUAAAUUGUUUUUUCAGAAGCUAUUCAUGGUUAGGUGCAUUCAGGAAACAAUUGGAGUAACAAACAUAUAUUGUUUUGAUUGAAACCUCUAAAAAUUAUUGGGUGCAUUUAUGAUAUUUUUCUUUUAAUGAAGCCAAAAUAUUCUAAUGAAUAAUAUCAUGUAACAAUACUGUAUUGCCUGCUCUAUUGAUAUGGCUAAAACUAAACUCCCCAAAAUUGACAAGAUUAAUUACAUGUCAUUAACUAAGCUACCAACAUAAGUCACAGGUAACUAAUCAUCUUCGUUUAGGAUUCCAACCAGGUUUUUGCAUUCAGAAUGUAAUGAAACAAUGGAGCCAAGCACGAGUAAUGAAAAAAAAAAAAAAGAAAUAAAAGGGGCAAAAUUGUAAUUGUCUUAUUAAUGCGUUCCAUUCCAUUGAAUACAUCCCAAAUUGGGGGGAAUGGAAAAUUGGAUGAAUGAGUGGUAUAUCAUGGAAUGGGUUCCAUCACAUUCCAUUCCAUUCAAUUCCACUAUUUUUUUACAAAACCAAACAAUGGAACAUGACUCUAUCCCACUCCAUUCCAUUCCAUCACAUACCACCAAUCGAAACAUAGUCUAAUGGAUAUGAACCUCAUAUGUGAGCGAAGCCAAGAUUAUAUGAUUGGAGUAACAAAGUAUUAAGUAUAAGUGUAUAAUAACCUUCAGCUAAUCUAAUCUAACUUAUUUCUAAUCCUAGUUAACACUCCAAUUACCACUUAAAACCCUAAUUUUAAGAUUUUUAAGCGCCAAUCAAUCCAGACCGUUAGAUCAUUGUAAGUAGGGGCGGUUAGCAUAUCAACCAUUGAUCAAAUCUCACUCCUUGAAAAUUGUAACACGCGCGUCGGAAAACUGAUGUUAUUAUCACACCUCUCCAUUAUUGUUCAAUACCCAUGCAAACUCUACAGUGCCCCAUGCUUCCCUCUUCUUCUCCCUCUGUCACUUUUGAUUAUACAUCUUCAAAUGAGAAGUAUUGUAGAUAUAUUGCUUUACUACCAUGCUUUGACGGGUAUGAGUCUCCCAUUUUUUUGUUGCUGUAAUUUCUGUACUGUAUAUCUUCCUGAUGUUGUUUUUUUGGUUUUUUCUUACCAGCACCUUCGAUACAAGGUUCGCUCCAUCCAUUUCUUCUUCGCAUUGAACUUUUCCGAUUUCGUUGCCAUUGAAGUCUUCGUAACGGUGGAACCUUGAUGUUUUUGGUAUUGCGUUGUUUUUUUAUUUUUAGGAUUUUAAUUUCUGAAUAACUUUCUAGAGUAAAUUGGUGAUAUUCAAUUGGAAUUCGGUGAAAUUGUAAGUAUCAGAGUGUGAGGAUUGGAGUACGAUGGUUCAGAUUGAAUAUUUUGCAUCAGUUUUAGGUACUCACUCUCUCACUAUUUUUCUCUAAUUUCUAUCAAUUUGUUAAGGUUUAGAAAUCUCUAACACCACUUUAUCUUUGCAAAACAUUUUUCUCUAUUUAAGAACUUGGGCAUCUUCAUCGUUGCUUACUUGCUUUGGUAUAGAUUUAUUGAGACAUACAUGCCUGGAGAUGAUCGAUUAAAUUCAUCUGGUCAAAUUGGAUUUGUGAUAUGUCACAACUCAUAGUGUGGUUAGUUUUAAACUACCUAUACAUGUCGUUGCUAUAGUAGACAUUAAGUUAUAAUAGUAAUCUUUGUUUGUUUAUCAUCUUCUAUAAGUUUCAUAUAUGGAACUAAUACAAAGUGACAAGGGUAGAACCUUGAACGAAGGAUGACUGCUAUGGAAAUAUGAUAAUGUUCCUGGUAUGAGUUAAAGUAUGUUUUUUUUUUUUUUUAAGAAUGAGAUAAAAGAGGCUAUGACUACUCCUAUUGAAAUGGGUAUUUUAAUAAGAAACUAAGACUUCAUUCCAUAUAUCAUAUUUCACUUAAAGGAAGAAUGAAGUCAGUGGAAAAUAAAUAGGAUUUUGAAACUUCUUAUGAAGACUUUUGUGCCUGAUUAUUGUUUUUGAUAUGUCAAUAUAUAUAUUUUAAAUUAUUUAGAACUUCAUUUCAGUUUUUGAGUAGUAGGAAAUAACUCAAAUCAGAUGAUAAAAUAAGCACGCUGGAAAUUAUGUUGACAGUAGUACAUAUUAGAGUUGUUUUCACAUGUAUACAUCUUACCUCUUUCUUAACUGUUGAUCAGUUGGUCAUUUACAUGGUUUAAUAGGAUUUGUGAAACUUCAAAUGAAGACACUGUUUUUUUUUUUGUUAUUGUUCAGAUUCAUGGACCAAGCUUUUUAUGUGAAAGGCAUCAUGCAACAUUAAAUUCUGGAUCUGAGAUGAUCAAUCCAUUAGGCAACCAUCAGACAAAGGUUUUAUUUUACACAAGCUUUGACAUUGUUUCUUUUUUGUUCAAUUUCUGAUUUUUGGGUUUUCUAUUUGAAGAUUUCGAUAUAUGUAAUAUGGUACAAUACACAUUACUUGAACAUGCAAAUUUGGUAAUCAUUUGAACAGCGGUUGAGAAAGUUUCUAAUUCUACAUGUGACGUGAAUUGUGGUUUGAUUAGCAAAUCAAAGGAAUAAAAAAGGCAGGCUGUAUGUCAUUUUCUUUCCACAUUUAAAAUUUCAAUAUUACGUGGAGACUAACAAGUGUCCGUAUACCCAUGUUUUUGCAUUGUCUUUUCAUGUUACUGUAGACUGCUACAAAUUGUGUUGUGCACUUUGAAAUAUAUGGUAAUGCUAAAAAUUAAUGUAUGCUAUGCGAUCUGGUGGUAAAACUUUUUUGUUUAACUUAUAAACAGAGAAAAGCAAAGUUAUCGGCAUGCUCUGCAAGAGAGUUUCGGUUGUAAAUUGCUUAUGCUACAUAUGUAACAUUGCGGAUUCAAAUGAAAUUGAAACUUCCUAAUUGAUGGUCAAAAAGAAUAAUGGUAAGUUAUACUUCAAGGAUGAUUGACAUGGCAUGACUUGAGUGAGAACUAUAAGAUGACUCAUAAAGUUACCAACAACUAAUUGACUGCAUCUGAUGAUUGAUGUAACUUCUAGAAUUCUGGUAUGCACUUAGUUUCAAAUUUUUUUUUUUUAAAUUUGUAAAUUGUCGUAUGUUCUAACACUUGCUUUUAAUUCAUAUGAAAAUAAACUUAGACUUGGUUUGGAUUUUGUCGAACUGCUCUGCUAAAUAAUGACACCUAACUGAUUUUGGUGGAUUACUUUGGCUAUAGCUGGAAAUGUGUAUUGAAGUUUCUCCAUGAUUCAAAGAUGACUUGCACAAUUUUUGGAGAGUGGACUAAUUUUUGCAAACAACGAAGGUUCUUUGAAGGAUUGUCUAUCAAGUUUGGAAGCAUCUAAUAACAAUGUCAUACAUGCAUGUGAGGACUGCCCCACAAUUUGGUCUGUGAACUAGAUUAGUCACACCUAAAGGAAAUGGAGUAUUCAAACCUCUUUUUUAGACAGAACAAUAUUUUAAGAGAGGCCAUUGUGUAUGUGGAUUGGUGGGUGUUGUUGGUUGGCAUGUUUGGGUUUAGGUGCUACUGCAGUUUCAGCGGCUGUGGUGGCUUCCUUUUGCUUUCCUUUUGGUGGUGAGAUCUCCCUAUCGGUUCUGCUAUGCCUCCAUGUCCUUUCUGUUAUAGUGCUGGCUGUGAUGCAGGAGUAUUCGUGGGUUUGCUAUUGUUUUGAUGACUAUAUAGUUGUUGUCAUGUUUGGCCUUUUGUUCUCAUUUAUACCUCAACAUCAUGUUAUUUUGUCUUUGGCUGGGUUGCUGUUUUGCUUGGAUUUUUUGGCAGCUUUUUCUUUGGGAUGUUGGAAGGUUUGUUUGCUUUUGUCCGGUGAUCCGCUAUAUACGGCACCUUAUUUGUAUUUUGCCUUAUUGACUUUAUCCGCAAUUGUUUUUUGUGUCUUGCCUUUUAGGGAGACCGAAAUUGCAACUAUCUUUUUUUUUUUGUUUACAAUAUAAUAAUUUUAUUUAAUGUUAAGUUAAAAAGUUUAAACAAUUUUUCUUAUUGUAGAAAUAUUAAAAUCAUAGUGUUUAAAGAAAUUUUCCAAAAUUUGUAGGCAUAAGAAAUUAUUAUAAAUAUAUUAGCUUCUCCAUUGUUUAUGAUCCGGGCGGUAGCACGGGUAAAAGUUCUAGUUAACCAUGAGACUAGAGGGACAUAAUGUGGCUUUUGAUGGCAAUCACAAAGUGGGUGGCAAGAGGGAGUAACGUCAUAUACUACCUCCGUUCCUUUUUAAUUGUUACUUUUGCAUAAAAUUUUUGUUUCUAAUUAAGUGUCACUUUCAAAGUUCAAUGCAAUAUUAAAUGUUGUUUUACCUUUUAUUACCCUUGAUUAUUUAUUGUAGAGAGAUAAGUGUAUGAAAUAAUAUAUUAAAUGAUGAAGGUUAUUAUAGGAAAAAGAUGAAUUGUUAUAUCAAAAGUAGUAUAAAAAGUAUUUUUUGCCUUGGUUUGUGUAAAAAACUCAAAAGUGACAAUUAAAAAGGAACGGAUGGAGUAUAUGGUAAUUUGAGUUGGAGUUGGAGGUGAGAAUAACCUUGACCGACCUAUUUAAACUUCGUAAUCCAAAUUGAAACAUAAGAGGUAACACAUGAAUUAUAAGUAUUAAGAAAAAUGAUAAUACGAAUAAUUUGAUAAAUAACUCUUUAUUUUAUAAAAAUGAUCAAGAAAAAUGAUUUAUAAAUUUAAAAUAUAAAAGUAUAGAUACACUUCAAUUUACGAGUAUAUCGUAAAAGUUUUCCGAUAUAAUAUGUGAAAAUGAUUAUUGCCUAAUUCCAUUAGGUGUAACCUAAGCCCGUCCUUUCUUACUCCUCUCUCUGUCUCUAUCUGAAUGUGGAGUCUUCUUGCACCAGUCCUUUUUUGCAUCUUCCUCUGCUAAUUAAAAAAUAAUAAUACUUAUAGGUUGAUCAUUAUCAUUUUUAAUAAAAUAUAUAUUUAUCUUUUUUAACUAUAAUGAAAUUCAUACGUAUUACAAUGACAGACCCAAAAACGGGAACUUCUUCACAAAUUUUAUUGGAAUACAUGAAAUAAUGCAAUACGGAAACAUGGCACAUGCUUUCCAAUCUUAUUGCAUCAUCAUCAUCAUCACUAGUUUUGUUUUUGACAAAUUGAAUGAUUUAUAUUGCACUAAAAACCUAAUAAGCUAUUCUUGCAUGAUCAACUAAAAAUUUAGUGAGGUAUCAGGUAUGGAUUCAAAGUUGAACAAAGUUUAUGAAGAAAGUUGAUGGUUUGAUCCCAAAAGAAAACCUUUAAGAUUUUAAUCUACAUAUUAGAAUGUCAAAUUUAUCAUGUCAUUCCUUAGAAGAUUAUUUUAGACCUCACAAAGAAUUAUCUAACUUACAAACUUUGUUUUCUUGUCCAUGAACCACAAAACAUUCAGGUUGUUCCAUAUAGAUUUCUUUUUUUAGUUCACCAUAAAAAAAAACAACUUUCACAUCCAUUUGGAGUACUAUCGAGUUAUGAACGGCGGCUAAAGGGACUAGUACUCUUAUGAAUAUAUUUUUCUCUCUCUAAAACCUUCGAUUACAAGAAGAGCCUUGUAUUCAUCAACCGUACUAUCAGGUUUUAGUUCUUUUCCAAAAUCCAAAUACAACCGAUUAGUUUGCAACCAUGAGGCAAGUCACCUAAGUCUCAUGUUUCGUUAGACUCUAGAGAAUCCAUUUCAUCGUUUAUUAUUUCUUGCCAUAAUUCAGCAUCCAAUGAGGAUAUAGCUUCUUUAAGGCUUUAAUGGAUCUUCUUCAAAUGUAUAACCCAUAAGGUCCAUACUCUUUAGCAAUUCUUGCUUUCUUACCUCUUCGAGGUUCUAUAACCCAUAAGGUCCAUACUCUUUAACAAUUCUUGCUUUCUUACCUCUUCGAGGUUCUAUAACAUCUCGUAUUACUAUUUCUCGAUGUUUUCAUAACUAUUUCUGAUUACUGAAAUGAUUACUGAAAUAUGAUCAGAUAUAGUGUCCCCACCCCCACUAUUCUUAAUUUAAAGGGGUACUUACUUCAUAAAAAUCAGCAUCGCUUGACUUUAUGAUCACUUUAGCAUUUAGGUCAUAAAACCUAUAAGCUUCCCUAAUUAUACCCAAUGAAUUCACAUUCAUAGGCUCUACUAGUGAGUUUAACUCUCUUGGGAUCGAAAUUCGAACUUAUGUCAAACAAUCCCACCCAAGUUAAAAAAAAAAAAAAAAGACAAGUUGGAUCGUAUUUUCUUCAAAAAUUUCUUAAUUAGAAUUUUUGUUCAUAGACUUGGGUACUCUAACCAACAUAAAUAUCAAGCAUAUCAAUUUUAUUUUUCAAAAUUCGCAGUCAUCAAUAAAUAUGAUAAAAUAUCAUUUUAUCAUUUCUAGGUUAUGUGCCAUCAAGUUCGCACAUAUCAUAAUUUAUUAAGUUUAGAGAUUCAAAUUCUCUAAACAAUGAUUUGUAUGAACUUUUGGUUCAUUAAACUUGACUAUGAAAAAUAAAAUUGUACAAUCAUAUAACUUUGGAAUUAAGUCUAAGUUACUCAAUUAUAAAAUUAAAAGUUUGUUCUCAUAAUAAAUUUCGAUAUGUCAAAUAUUAAAAACACACAACUUAUAAAAUAUAAGGAGAAUUUAAUUUUGAACAUACCAUCAAAGGUGCAAUCUUUUCUCACAAGAAUGCAUGGUACACAAGUCUCUCUUUAAGUUUGAUUCAACUUAAUCUUAUUCAGUAGAAAUCUGAAAUUCAAAUUCUUUCUUAUUUUUGAAGCAUACAUCACGCCCUAGAGAAUUAUUUUUCUUUUCGAACAUGAAUUGCAUAUCUCCAAUGCCAACUACUUUAGUGGUGUAAGAAGAUUCUAACAACACUUUCUUAUUCUCAGCAAUAACAUAUGUUUUUGAACAUAACAUAAUCAUAGAAAACAUGACGUGAUGCGCUAAUGUUUAUCCAUCAUCCACUUAAUUCACCAACUAGAAUGAUUCAACUAGUCAUAUUAGUGAAUUUCUCUUUAGUCAUGUUAUGCUACAAAGCAACACUUGACAUGUUCAUAUAAUUGCAGGACAUAUGACAUGGUUUCUCACAAUUGUAUUAAAAAUAAAUUGUAAACCAAUGUCAAUUCUUGAUGGUGGCUGCUGAUUUUCACUUAGGACCUUUUUUGGGGUGCCUAUUCUCUUGGCAAUUAGAAUUAUUAAUUCACAGUGCGGUUCUGAUUUUUGAAAAUAAAUUUCAAACAGAUUUAAAGAAGCAUAUGUGAAUUUCGUUAGUGUUGUUGUAAUAACAACAAGCACUUCAUCCUGUUCAAUAUAGAGAUGUAUUUCUAUAGCUUGAUUUGUCUUAAAAUUGUUGUAUUUCAUAUUCAGAAACACCUUUUUGAUAAAAUCAAAAUCACCACCGAAGAUAUUACCAUGUUGAGUCUUCUUGAAGUCCUACCGGGUUGAGUCACGAUCAGGUUGCUUUCUUUAAGACAAACCACGGCACUACCCGAAAUUGUGCAAGGUAGGCUAACAACCGUGAGCCUCUAGGAUAAAACAGUCCAAUUUACCUGUUCGAUUAGAUACUGCACCAUAAAUAAUCGUUCGAGAAAUAACACCCUCUAAUAUGGUACUAAGACCACUCUUUAAUGUUGAAACCAAUGUGGUGUUAUUACCACUCUAUUAUGGUGUUGAGACCAUUAAAAUAUGAUGUUACCAUCAUUCAAUUUUUAACUUCUCCAAGUAUCAAUAUGGUACUUCAACCACUCAAAUAUGGUGCUACAACCAUUCUAAUAUCAAACUUCUCCAUGAAUAGAAGAAGAAUAUAUAUGUUUAAGAUCAUUCUUAUUGUACUGAAAGGACUAUGAUCUUAAAAUAUUAUUUAUUCUAAAGAGACAUAAACAAUUGAAGGACUAUGCUCUUAAGACCAUUCUUAUUUUCGAAAGGAUAAUAAACCGAAGAUGGACUAUGGUCUUAAGAACACUCUUAAUUCCGAAGGGACAGAAAGGAGUAGAAAAAGGGGAAGGACUUGUCAACACAAGUCGAAGGAGGGAGAAGAGAGGAAAAACACAAGAAGCAUCAACUGUGAAUUUCGGUGUGUAGAAUGCACUGUGUGAGCUCUCUAUUUACAGAGAAGCUCUCUAGAGAAAGUUCACAACUAAUAAGUGAGAAACUUUGGGAGCAAGUAAUUCUCAUAUUAGAUCUAGUACAAAAACAUCUCAAAUCGAGUCUCAAAAUAUAUCAUAUUGAGUACAAAAAUAUAUUAUUCAGUAAAGAAAUAUAUUAUCGAGUAUCAAAAUAUAUUUCAGAUCAUGCACUAGAUUGCCUACCAAAAUAUUUCAGAUUAUGUUCCAAAAUAUUCUAGAUUGUGUUCCAAAAUAUAUUUAGCAAAACUUAGGGACUAAGAAAACACUUUCUAAUAAUGAUUAAAUUAAUUAUUUAAUUUAUCAUUUUCAAAUAAUAAAAUAUAUAUCAAUAUAUAUUUUUCUCUAGUGCUUACUUCGUUCACAUAAUUAUGUACCCCUAUUAGAGAUACACCCCCACUAUAUAAACACUACUAAUAUGUGAUCCAUCCGAUGUGGAACUUCCACUUUUUUCAAUUCACACUACAUUAAUUCUACCCAUUGUAGGAAUUUGUGUUUAAUCAAUUACUCAAUUUCCACAUCUUCCAACAACUAUCUAUUACCAUCCAUAUCAACUUUCAAAUAUGUAUGUAUUUUUCAGGUUAAGUGACAAAUGUUUUGCAGUUUUCACAUGAUCAGCGUACAUGUUUUUUAGAAAUCAGCUACAUUGUUAAUUAAUCACUUUUAGUUCUAAAAGUUUAAUUUGAAACCAACAUAAACAAAUUAAAAUCACCUUCUUUAACUGGGAUCAGUGAUGUUUUAUAGGCUGACAGGUGUAUACUUAUAUGAUACAUUGUUAAAAUUAUUACUUAAGGAGAUAAUUAAUAUGAUAUAGAUAAGGUAGGACACAAUAGAAAACAUUGAUAAUGUACGUAUAUGAUUUAAUUUCUUACAUAUUUGACAACGGGAUUUGAGUUGUAAUAGACAAAUACAGGGUAAUAAGAACAAUCUUGAGGCCUCGUCAGUUCAUUUUCAAUAAUAAAUGAAAAAUGACAAACACAAACAAUGAUAUCAUAUAGGAUUUAACUUGUAUAUUCUAUUAUUGAGAUUUUUUUCUUCUUCUUUCAACAUGCAUCUAAUAACUUCUCUCAUUCAAUAUAUAUGUAUUUGUAGAUAUUUUCAAAACUAGCAUAACAAAGUGAUACUGUGGUAUAAUUCAAUUGAAUGUAUAAAAAAUAACACCUUCAAUGCAUUCAUAAUAACUAUACAUCGGUCUAUAAAUAUAAAACCCUCUUGAGAUUUUUUCUUGUCAUUUUUUCCUUAAAUUUUUACUAACAUAUUCUUUAGUAAAACUCAUCACAAAAUAAUAGAAUUAUGUUACAUGUUUUUUUUAACUUGCAAUAAAUACUACUUGAAAACAUAAAUUAAUUAUCUAAAGAGCAUGCAAUUGUAAAACAAAAACAAUUGCUGAUAAAUUUAUUACUACUAUAAAUUUUGGGUAAUACUAACUUAUGCUCUAAGAAUAUAGGUUAAGGAUCAUACAUAGGAAUGGGAAUAGGCUAAGCCGGCCUACGAUCUAGCCUACGACAGGCCAUGUCAGGUUAGGCUUUUUUCUUAAACAGAGAAGGCCUAUGUUUUUUUAAAAGCUUAUUUAGCUUAAAAGGCCAAGCCACGAGCCAUUCAAAAAGACUCUUAGGUCUAUUAGGUCGGCCUAUUUAAGUAAAAAUGAAUAAUAUUAUUUAUUAUUAUAUUAUAUUUUGUACUUUGAAUUAAAAUAAAAAUAUGUUAACUUUUUCAGUAAUUUAAGCUUAUUAGUAUACAUUAAUUUUUUUUUUUUUUUUUUGUAUAUUUAAAUGUAUUAUUAUAAACUAGAAUUGAAAUAUGAUACAAUAUAUAGUCAAAUUCCCUAAAAACUCAUGUAGAUUAUCAAAAGAAAGUUUAAUCUAAUUGAUAUAUUAGUUUGCUAGUCUAUUUAAACUUAGAUCGCAUUGUUUUUAAAGAUGUUCAUAUGAAAUAGGUCUUUAAACAGGCUAGCAUGUCGUAUCAGACUUUUAGAAAGCCAGACUCAGACCUUAAAAGUAAGCAUAUGACAGACAGCAUGCCAGACUUAUGCCUUCAACAAAUUUGGCAGGCCAGGCUCAAGCCUUACAAAGCAUAGCUCGGCCUAACCUAUUCCCACACAAAUAAGAAGUAUUUAUUGAGAAUCCCUAAAAAAAGUACAUUUAUUGUGAUUUUUUUUUAAUUUUCAACAUUUUAAUAAAUAAAUCGACACAAUUUCCAAUUUGUGGAUCCUUAACAUUAAAGGCAUAUGUUAGCCUUUCUCCAAACUUAUUAUUUCAACAUAUUUCUUCUCUAUCAUUUCUUUUAUAAUAAGAAUUUAUUUGAUGAAUAAUUCCCCAAUCUAAGGUCCAAGGAAGGUCUUAAGAUCUUAGGGCUCAAAAAACUACUUUAGAUCUAAUGUUUGUCUUUUUACUGUUAAAUCAAAUUCUUGAAAUAUCCUUAUCAUUGAUUUAGUUUCAAUUAAUCAAACUAAUGAAAAUUACUUGACAACAACUUAUACGUAUGAAAUGAUUUCAUUGAGUUGAUAUGAUCACAAAAUGACAAAUCACAAAUCACAAAUUGCAAUUUAUAUAGCAGAUAGUUCCAAACUUAACCAUAAAAUAUAUAUUCGUACUCCCUCAAAUGAAGAGCAUAUUUCCUCAUCCAUGUUGAUAUGCCAGCUUGUGCUGAUGACUAAUCAAGUUUCCACUCAAUGGGCUCCCUCAGUAACUCACAUGGGCCUCCAAAUAAACCAGUUAUUAUAAUCAACAAAUUCACCAAUCCUUCCCUAUAAAAUCCCCUCUUAUUCUCUCAAACAUCAUCACUCACUCACACACCAAAUCAAACUAAGAGUAUUAGCACCUUAAUCUUAAUCAUUAAUCCAAAUGGCUUCCAAGGUUGCUAUGCUCCUUUGCCUCAACAUCAUAUUUUUCACUGUGGU